rnacentral:tRNA from 5 species
GCUAGUGUAGCAAAGCCUGGCAAAUGCAAAAGGCUUAAACCCUUUAAUUAGAGGUUCAAAUCCUCUCCCUAGCU